rnacentral:rRNA from 1 species
GAAGUGGAAGUGCGGUGACGUAUGAAGCGGACCAUUACUAAUCGGUCGAGGACUUAACCAAG